CCUACGGGAGGCAGCAGUAGGGAAUCUUGCGCAAUGGGCGAAAGCCUGACGCAGCCAUGCCGCGUGAAUGAUGAAGGUCUUAGGAUUGUAAAAUUCUUUCACCGGGGACGAUAAUGACGGUACCCGGAGAAGAAGCCCCGGCUAACUUCGUGCCAGCAGCCGCGGUAAUACGAAGGGGGCUAGCGUUGCUCGGAAUUACUGGGCGUAAAGGGAGCGUAGGCGGAUAGUUUAGUCAGAGGUGAAAGCCCAGGGCUCAACCUUGGAACUGCCUUUGAUACUGGCUAUCUUGAGUAUGGGAGAGGUGAGUGGAACUCCGAGUGUAGAGGUGAAAUUCGUAGAUAUUCGGAAGAACACCAGUGGCGAAGGCGACUCACUGGCCCAUUACUGACGCUGAGGCUCGAAAGCGUGGGGAGCAAACAGGAUUAGAUACCCUGGUAGUCCACGCCGUAAACGAUGAGUGCUAGUUGUCGGCAUGCAUGCAUGUCGGUGACGCAGCUAACGCAUUAAGCACUCCGCCUGGGGAGUACGGUCGCAAGAUUAAAACUCAAAGGAAUUGACGG
rnacentral:rRNA from 1 species